rnacentral:tRNA from 1 species
GGUCCCAUGGGCUAGUGGCCGAGGACGCUGUCUUCUCAUGGCGAAAACAGGGGAUCGAGUCCCCUUGGGACCA